UAACACAGAUAACACACAAACAUUGGUAUGUUUAUAAGAAACAUUUACAACAGUUGACUAGAAAAAGAUGUACAGAUAAAGUAUUAUUAAGUGAUACAUAUAUUGUCGGCAAAAGUGCAAUUGAUGUUUUUGUGUUUGAAGGAAAAAAUCACACCCUGUUUGUAGAAUACCUCAUUUAGGAUAUAAUGGAAUAUUGGAAUAAGAAACUUCUUGCAGAUGCUCUGACUGGAAAUGUAAACGAUGUGAAAAUAUGCCUAGAGAAUAAAGCAGACAUUGAAUAUCAAUCGGUAGGUAAAACAGUCUCAUUAGGUACAGUAGUAACAUCCAUAUUAGUACUAGAGCAAAUUAAUUAUGUACAGUAAAAAAAAACACACAACUACAGAUAACUUCAGAAUAUAGUUGAUCUUACUUGAGCAAUAUAAAUCACAUAACUACAUGUUACUUCAAAAU